CAGAACAAAUUCAUCCAUGAAAAAGAAAAAAAAUCACGUUAACAUUUACCUAAUAUCAGAAAGAUAGGGAAUAAAAUCAUUCUCCGCUUCUGUUUUCCUUUAUAACUCCAAGCAGUCUGAGAAGCAGCACCACAAGCAGCCAUCUUAGCCUCAAGUUUUCCCUGACUAAACAGGGACUUGAAGUUUUCAUCUGUUUUAAGACAGAAGGCUCUUUCAGGUCCAUGCAAACAUACUAUUUAAAACAGUCACAUGAAAAUGAAGCCACGCGGCAGAAAUGCAAAAACUACCCACUAUAGGUAACCUUAUGCUAACGGGUAAGGAAAAGCAAAUGUGCAUGACAGAGAAUACAAAAAGUUAUUUAUUCUUCUUCUACCUUCCCCUCCCCUCCCCGUUCUGCUCCUACCAGGGCACUAGCAAGGCCCAGCAGAGAGGAGAACGAACACGCUCCAGCUCCUGAGAUUCUGGUGAUGGACAGAGACGUUUCUUUCAGCUGCAGUAAAGAACAACCAGAAAAGGCCCAGACACCACAGAGCCAGAAGCAUCCGCUCCCUUCCUGCCCUCUCUCCACCUGCAGAGCUCAGCCAUGGCCAGACUUGGUGGCCAGACACCACCAACACUUCUUGGUUUCCCUCCUACACUUUCUCCGACAUCCCACGUAACUUGAAGAAUACCACCUGCUGAAGGCUGAGAUGAACAUAUCCAUUGGAAACAUUAAACCUAACAAAAU